rnacentral:rRNA from 1 species
AUACGGAGGGUCCAAGCGUUAUCCGGAUUCAUUGGGUUUAAAGGGUCCGCAGGCGGGAAAAUAAGUCAGUGGUGAAAGCCUACAGCUCAACUGUAGAACUGCCAUUGAAACUGUUUUUCUUGAGUAUAGAUGAAGUGGGCGGAAUAUAUCAUGUAGCGGUGAAAUGCAUAGAUAUGAUAUAGAACACCGAUUGCGAAGGCAGCUCACUAAACUAUUACUGACGCUCAGGGACAAAAGCGUGGGGAGCGAACAGGAUUAGAUACCCCAGUAGUCC